UGUAAGCGUAUACCCAAGUUGUUGCAGUUAAAACGCUCGUAGUCGGAUUUUGGUGGGCGAGCCGGGGCGUCUUCGCGGACGGACCUGGAUCGGCCGCCUUUGUGGAGGGGGGCUCGGGGCCGCUUGAGUGCGGGCUCGUUGUCGCUGCCACCGUUUACUGUGAAAAAUUAGAGUGUUCAAAGCGGGCGUUUGCCAUGAAUACCUUAGCAUGGAAUAAUAGAAUAGGACCUGUGUUCUGUUUUAUUGGUUUGUGAGGACCGGGUAAUGAUUAAGAGGGACGGUUGGGGGCAUUUGUAUUCCGGCGUCAGAGGUGAAAUUCUUGGAUUGUCGGAAGACAAACGGCUGCGAAAGCGUCUGCCAAGGACGUUUUCAUUGA
rnacentral:rRNA from 1 species